GCCACACACUAUCCCCUCCAGCCCACCCGCACGCACGUGUGACGAUCCCCUCACCGCCGCCCCUCUCCGGAUCGCCGCCACUGCCACCGCCGCUCCGAAUCGCCGCCGUCUGGAUCGCCGCCGCCGCCGCCGUCUCUCCGGAUCGCCGCCGCCGCCACUGUCUCUCCGGAUCUCCACCGCCGUCUCUCGGAGCAGGAGAGGCCAGGCUGUAGCAGCUGCGGUCGUGGCGUCGUGCGCGUGGCAUCGACGCAUGUGAGAAUCUAUCCAUGGCUGUCUCGUGGGCCGAGCGUCAAGGUGAUGGUCGCCGAGAGAUCUCUCCACGCCCCCUCAAGGGAUGGGAAGUGGCGGGCAGAGUACCUCCCCCGCGCAUGUCAGAGUUGCCCACACUUUAAAUUGCAACUGUGUGGUGAUCAGGACAUUCUGUGUUGCUUGGACAACCGAGCUAAGAUGGCGAUGCCACCACCUAUUUGUAUCUGUACACAACCUCCGGUGAUGAUUUCUGUGAGUGCCUAAAUAUAUAUCCUAUGCUCUUCAAAUGGUAGGGUUUGAGGUUUUCAUUCCUCCCCCCUUCCAGUUCUUGUGCUGAGCACCUUCAAUUCCCCUUUCCCCUGCUCGAAGGAAUUGGCAUCUCCGUUAGUGACCCCGAGUAGUGAUGCAAGGAUGUAUUGCUUGCUUUCCUUCGAACCUUCUCCAAAGAUUUUCAAAUAGUUAUACUUUGAUUCAGAGCUCGUUGUGUUUUACUGUAUAUGCAGUUUGUUCUUAUGAAUUUCUCCGAGCAGGUAGAUCCUUUAGGGUUACUAACUUACUGUGAACAAUUGUGUUGUCUUGUUUAUGUAGUUUCCAAAAAUGAAGAAGCUUGUCGUUCAACUGAUGACAAAACACCUAGAGUACAUGCAAAAAUUACUACUUCCUCAUUUACAUCAAACUCAUUGAUACGACAAAGGGAAGAUUUUGGGUGGCAAGGUAUAUGAUUAGAUCGUGUGUAAUCUUCUAGAUGCAUUUAUUCUAUGCUUCCAUUGUGUUCUUUAGACAUGCCUCUUUUCGUUAUUUUACAUCAGUUAACUGAAGUUCAUAUUUUUCUAUUAUCUGAUUGUAGCUUCAAAGUUUGAUUACAACAGAGUCAUUAGUACGACAUACACAGUUUGUGAAUUUACCUACUACUAUGAGUUACGUCAUAUAGCAAUGUUUUGUUGCCCCGAAAACUAUUGCAUGAAAUGCCUGAUGUCUUGUGAAUGUGUAUAGUAGCUACCAGUAGGUGGUCAAACAGUACACCUUCUUUAAAGCAUGAAUAAGGUGCUAGCUUAUGUGCUGCAGUUGCAUUCUUCAGAUGCAAUGUGUUUUCGCUCAGCGGGAGCACUUCUUCUGAUUAUUUAUAAUUUUUAGUUUGCUUCUUAUAAUUCUAAGACAAUUUUUGCGACUUGGAAUCUAUAGCAUCCCCUUUUCUCACUGGAAAUGACAUGUAAGAACAAACCAGUUCCGGUUCUGGCAUAGUUAUGAUGGUUGAAGUGUAUGUCCAUAUGAUUUAGUAUAUGCAUGGGAGUACCUGCUAAACCAUGAAGCAUAUUGUGUCGUGUUAGCUCCAUCUAGCUUUACUAUCUGGAAUUCCUUAUCUAGCUUUUGUAUGUUGUAUUCCCUUUCGCCGCGUCUACAUACUUGAUGAAGCUUUUUUCUGAUUGCAAAGUACGUGCAAGUCAGUAGUGAACACUCUAUAU